rnacentral:rRNA from 1 species
UGGGGAAUAUUGCACAAUGGGCGCAAGCCUGAUGCAGCCAUGCCGCGUGUGUGAAGAAGGCCUUCGGGUUGUAAAGCACUUUCAGCGAGGAGGAAGGGUAGUGUGUUAAUAGCACAUUGCAUUGACGUUACUCGCAGAAGAAGCACCGGCUAACUCCGUGCCAGCAGCCGCGGUAAUACGGAGGGUGCAAGCGUUAAUCGGAAUUACUGGGCGUAAAGCGCACGCAGGCGGGUUGUUAAGUCAGAUGUGAAAUCCCCGCGCUUAACGUGGGAACUGCAUUUGAAACUGGCAAGCUAGAGUCUUGUAGAGGGGGGUAGAAUUCCAGGUGUAGCGGUGAAAUGCGUAGAGAUCUGGAGGAAUACCGGUGGCGAAGGCGGCCCCCUGGACAAAGACUGACGCUCAGGUGCGAAAGCGUGGGGAGCAAACA